AGGCUUCUUCCAGAUUAAGGCUUUGGUUACCACCUCCUGCACACGAUCAGUUGGUUCGCCCUCCAGCUUGCAAAGACCACUUGCCGAACUCUUCCCGACUGGACAACGAUUUUCCAGUUUCGCUAUCGCUGUAGCUUCAUCAGGGAAAGAGAUCUACUUCUAGCCGGUGGGUGUGGGAGUCGACUCUCACAGUAUGUAAAAUACAGACUACAGAGUCUCUCUUUCUCCACACACGGAGGGUUUAGGGGCCGUUGCUGUGGAUGGAGAAACGGGGACGUGAGCGGCCAUUGAGGACAGCCAGGGUGCCGGUGAGCCCCCUUCUGCUCGGUGUGCGGGCCGAACUUGGAGGGGCUGAGCUUUGAUGGAGGACCACAUGACGGGGCACAUCAAUGGGAAGCGUUAUGAGAGUGACGUGUGUGGCAAGGCCUGCCGGAGCCCGCGCCAGCUGGAGAUCCACUGGUGGGUUCACACGGGCGAGAAGCCCAAUGCCUGCUCCACUUGUGGCAAGAGCUUUGCCCGUCCUGUGGUUAGGGCUUUACCCGCCUUGUCCACCUGCUGGAGCAUUGGCGAGUCCACACCAGCGAGUCCACACCGGCCAGCGCCCCUUCACCUCCCCGCUCUGUGGCAAGGCCUGUGUCCGCUCCUCCAGCCUGCUGCCACACCACC